GACGAACGCUGGCGGCGUGCUUAACACAUGCAAGUCGAACGGAAAGGCCCUGCUUUUGUGGGGUGCUCGAGUGGCGAACGGGUGAGUAACACGUGAGUAACCUGCCCUUGACUUUGGGAUAACUUCAGGAAACUGGGGCUAAUACCGGAAAGGAGCUCCUGCUGCAUGGUGGGGGUUGGAAAGUUUCGGCGGUUGGGGAUGGACUCGCGGCUUAUCAGCUUGUUGGUGGGGUAGUGGCUUACCAAGGCUUUGACGGGUAGCCGGCCUGAGAGGGUGACCGGCCACAUUGGGACUGAGAUACGGCCCAGACUCCUACGGGAGGCAGCAGUGGGGAAUAUUGCACAAUGGGCGGAAGCCUGAUGCAGCAACGCCGCGUGCGGGAUGACGGCCUUCGGGUUGUAAACCGCUUUCGCCUGUGACGAAGCGUGAGUGACGGUAAUGGGUAAAGAAGCACCGGCUAACUACGUG
rnacentral:rRNA from 1 species